rnacentral:tRNA from 1 species
GAGCGAGUGGCCGAGUGGUUAAGGUGUUAGGCUUCACCAAAGACGUUAAUGACUUAGAGGUGGGUUCGAUGCCUAGUCCGAGGUCA